GGGGGUAGAGCACUGUUUCGGCAAGGGGGUCAUCCCGACUUACCAACCCGAUGCAAACUGCGAAUACCGGAGAAUGUUAUCACGGGAGACACACGGCGGGGGCUAACGUCCGUCGUGAAGAGGGAAACAACCCAGACCGCCAGCUAAGGUCCCAAAGUCAUGGUUAAGUGGGAAACGAUGUGGGAAGGCCCAGACAGCCAGGAUGUUGGCUUAGAAGCAGCCAUCAUUUAAAGAAAGCGUAAUAGCUCACUGGUCGAGUCGGCCUGCGCGGAAGAUGUAACGGGGCUAAACCAUGCACCGAAGCUGCGGCAGCGAC
rnacentral:rRNA from 1 species